UUAUUCCUGACGGUGGUUUUCACCUUUUAUGAUAAAACAUUGAUUAUACCAUCAUAUAAACCAUAUUUGUAUACAUGAGUGCUUGAGUUGGUUAUGGUUAUAUACUGUUCUUGACUUGAUUUUUGCAUAACUAAUUUUAUUAAUCUUGACAGGCGCCUCAAGGAGUGCAUGUAGUCUGCAAAAGCUUUCCAAAAAUUAAGAUUGUGACAUCUGAGAUCGAAAUUGGUUUGAAUGAAGAAUACCGUGUCAUCCCUGGCAUGGGUGAGUUUGGGGACCGAUAUUUUGGCACAGAUGAUGAGGACCAGCAAGUUGGGUCCCCGGUAUAGCUCAAAUGAGAGGUAUCAAGUUCUGACAUUGAAACCAGGGUGGAUUCCAACUGGAAUAAUGAGACAGUCAAUUUUGUAGUUUUAAAUUUGAGUGAACCUACAUUUGAAAUCUAUGUCUCCUUCCAGCUUUAGACACAAGCUGAGGGAUAUUUGGUUGCAGGUUUCAUAUCGUGCACAUGCUACAUGAGCUUGAAUCCCUCUUCAAUAUAUAGAUUGUACAG